GUCAGGAUGGCCGAGUGGUCUAAGGCGCCAGACUUAAGAAUUGGAGUCGUGGGUUCGAACCCCACUUCUGACA